UACGUAGGGUGCAAGCGUUAAUCGGAAUUACUGGACGUAAAGCGUGCGCAGGCGGUUUUUGUAAGUCUGUCGUGAAAUCCCCCGGGCUCAACCUGGGAAUUGCGAUGGAGACUGCAAGGCUAGAAUCUGGCAGAGGGGGGGUAGAAUUCCACGUGUAGCAGUGAAAUGCGUAGAGAUGUGGAGGAACACCGAUGGCGAAGGCAGCCCCCCUGGGUCAAGAUUGACGCUCAUGCACGAAAGCGUGGGGGAGCAAACAGG
rnacentral:rRNA from 1 species